rnacentral:rRNA from 1 species
GGGUAACCUGCCCAUAAGACUGGGAUAACUCCGGGAAACCGGGGCUAAUACCGGAUAACAUUUUGAACCGCAUGGUUCGAAAUUGAAAGGCGGCUUCGGCUGUCACUUAUGGAUGGACCCGCGUCGCAUUAGCUAGUUGGUGAGGUAACGGCUCACCAAGGCAACGAUGCGUAGCCGACCUNANAGGGUGAUCGGCCACACUGGGACUGAGACACGGCCCANACUUNUACGGGAGGCAGCAGUANGGAAUCUUCCNCAAUGGACGAAAGUCUGACGGAGCAACGCCNCGUGAGUGAUGAAAGCUUUCNGGUCGUAAAACUCUGUUGUUAGGGAAAAACAAGUGCUAGUUGAAUAAGCUGGCACCUUGACGGUACCUAACCAGAAAGCCACGGCUAACUACGUGCCAGCAGCCGCGGUAAUACGUAGGUGGCAAGCGUUAUCCGGAAUUAUUGGGCGUAAAGCGCGCGCAGGUGGUUUCUUAAGUCUGAUGUGAAAGCCCACGGCUCAACCGUGGAGGGUCAUUGGAAACUGGGAGACUUGAGUGCAGAAGAGGAAAGUGGAAUUCCAUGUGUAGCGGUGAAAUGCGUAGAGAUAUGNGAGGAACACCAGUGGCGAAGGCGACUUUCUGGUCUGUAACUGACACUGAGGCGCGAAAAGCGUGGGGAGCAAACAGGGAUUAGAUACCCUGGGUAGUCACGCCGUAAACGANUGAGUGCUAAGUGUUAGAGGGUUUCCGCCCNUUAGUGCUGNAGUUAACGCAUUAAGCACUCCGCCUGGGGAGUACGGNCGCAAGNCUGAAACUCAAAGGAAUUGACGGGGGCCNGCACAAGCGGUGGANCAUGUGGUUUAAUUCGAAGCAACGCGANGAACCUUACCAGGUCUUGACAUCCUCUGANNNCCCUAGAGAUAGGGNUUNNCCUUCGGGNGCAGAGUGACAGGNGNGCAUNGUUGUCGANAGACUCGUGUUUUNAGAUGCNGGGUAAUUNCCGCAACGAGGGCAACCCUUGNUCAUAGUUGCCAUCAUUAAGUUGGGCNCUCUAAGGUGACUGCCGGUGACAAUCCCGGAGAAGGUGCGGAUNNCGUCAAAUCAUCAUGCCCCUUAUGACCUGGGCUACACACGUGCUACAAUGGACGGUACAAAGAGCUGCAAGACCGCGAGGUGGAGCUAAUCUCAUAAAACCGUUCUCAGUUCGGAUUGUAGGCUGCAACUCGCCUACAUGAAGCUGGAAUCGCUAGUAAUCGCGGAUCAGCAUGCCGCGGUGAAUACGUUCCCGGGCCUUGUUCACG